rnacentral:rRNA from 1 species
GAAUAUUGGACAAUGGGCGCAAGCCUGAUCCAGCCAUGCCGCGUGUGUGAAGAAGGCCUUCGGGUUGUAAAGCACUUUUGUCCGGAAAGAAAAGCUACCGGUUAAUACCCGGGAGUCCUGACGGUACCGGAAGAAUAAGCACCGGCUAACUUCGUGCCAGCAGCCGCGGUAAUACGAAGGGUGCAAGCGUUACUCGGAAUUACUGGGCGUAAAGCGUGUGUAGGUGGUUUGUUAAGUCUGAUGUGAAAGCCCUGGGCUCAACCUGGGAAUUGCAUUGGAUACUGGCAGGCUAGAGUGCGGUAGAGGAUGGCGGAAUUCCCGGUGUAGCAGUGAAAUGCGUAGAGAUCGGGAGGAACAUCUGUGGCGAAGGCGGCCAUCUGGACCAGCACUGACACUGAGGCACGAAAGCGUGGGGAGCAAACAGGAUUAGAUACCCUGG